rnacentral:lncRNA from 1 species
CCCCGCCCCACCCCCCACCGAGAACCCUGGGAAGAAUGCUUCAGUCAGACACUUAACUAUGGAUACUGUUUUGUUACCAGCUCUACUUGCAACGUGUUAACAAAUUGCCAAGUGUGACUGGGGGUUCCUGCAGGAGCUUAGGCCUGCGAUGUGUUACUUGCUUCCUGCAGUGGGUUUGGCCUGCAAAAUGUUAUUUGUUUCCUGAAGUGGGUUGGGCCAGUGAGAUGUUACUGAGGGUUUCUACCCAGGAUCGUUUAUCUUCACACUGAAGACGUUUUGAAGUUAUAAAGAACUAAUCUAAUCUUGCACGUCACUCUCACUGCAAAGUGUAUUUUCUUUUGCCUUGCUUGGUCUCUCUAUUUCCUAACAAAAGUAUUACUAAAGGUGACAUUUCCUGGUGUCUUUAUACACUUGUGCACCUGCCAACAGAAGCUUUUGGCUUGAGAUAACAUUAAACAUUUUUGCAAAUGUAA